UGCCCUCCUCUCGCCGGCCCCUUGCGCCUCAU
rnacentral:sRNA from 1 species